rnacentral:rRNA from 1 species
UACAGAGGUCUCAAGCGUUGUUCGGAUUCAUUGGGCGUAAAGGGUGCGUAGGCGGCGCGGUAAGUCGGAUGUGAAAUCUCGGAGCUUAACUUCGAAACUGCAUUCGAUACUGCCGUGCUUGAGGACUGGAGAGGAGACUGGAAUUUACGGUGUAGCGGUGAAAUGCGUAGAUAUCAAGAGGAACACCUGAGGCGAAGGCGGGUUGCUAGGCUGACACUGACGCUGAAGCGCGAAAGCUAGGGUAGCAAACGGG